rnacentral:rRNA from 1 species
GACGAACCGUGCGAACGUUGUUCGGAAUCACUGGGCUUAAAGGGCGCGUAGGCGGCUCACCACGUCCGGGGUGAAAGCCCCCAGCUUAACUGGGGAAGUGCCUCGGAUACUGGUGAGCUCGAGGGAGGUAGGGGCGGAUGGAACUUCCGGUGGAGCGGUGAAAUGCGUUGAUAUCGGAAGGAACGCCGGUGGCGAAAGCGGCUCACUGGACCAUAACUGACGCUGAUGCACGAAAGCUAGGGGAGCAAACAGG